UACGUAGGGGGCUAGCGUUAUCCGGAAUUACUGGGCGUAAAGGGUGCGUAGGUGGUUUCUUAAGUCAGAGGUGAAAGGCUACGGCUCAACCGUAGUAAGCCUUUGAAACUGGGAAACUUGAGUGCAGGAGAGGAGAGUGGAAUUCCUAGUCUAGCGGUGAAAUGCGUAGAUAUUAGGAGGAACACCAGUUGCGAAGGCGGCUCUCUGGACUGUAACUGACACUGAGGCACGAAAGCGUGGGUAGCAAACAGGAUUAGAUACCCUGGUAGUCCCUGAG
rnacentral:rRNA from 1 species